rnacentral:rRNA from 1 species
GUAGGUGGCAAGCGUUGUCCGGAAUUAUUGGGCGUAAAGCGCGCGCAGGCGGUUCUUUAAGUCUGAUGUGAAAGCCCACGGCUCAACCGUGGAGGGUCAUUGGAAACUGGAGAACUUGAGUACAGAAGAGGAAAGCGGAAUUCCACGUGUAGCGGUGAAAUGCGUAGAGAUGUGGAGGAACACCAGUGGCGAAGGCGGCUUUCUGGUCUGUAACUGACGCUGAGGCGCGAAAGCGUGGGGAGCAAACAGGAUUAGAUACCCUGGUAGUCCGCGCCGUAAACGAUGAGUGCUAAGUGUUAGGGGGUUUCCGCCCCCCUUAGUGCUGCAGCUAACGCAUUAAGCACUCCGCCUGGGAGUACGACCGCAAGGUUG